rnacentral:rRNA from 1 species
UACGGAAGGGGCAAGCGUUGUUCGGAAUCAUUGGGCGUAAAGGGCGCGUAGGUGGUUCUGUAUGUCUACCGUGAAAGCGUACGGCUCAACCGUAUUUUGUCGGUGGAAACUGCAGGACUUGAGGCUGGGAGGGCUGGUGGAAUUCCCUGUGUAGCGGUGAAAUGCGUAGAGAUGGGGGAGAACACUCGUGGCGAAGGCGGCCAGCUAGACCAGUUCUGACACUGAGGCGCGACAGCGUGGGAGCAAACAGG